rnacentral:pre_miRNA from 1 species
ACAUCAAGACUAAAGGAAGAAGAGAGAGAGUACAGCCUUAGCUCUGUCUAUCUACGAUCUUUUAUAUAUUUGAGUUUAAUCAAGGCUGUACCCUCUCUCUUCUUCUCUUAGCUUCUCGAUGC